ACCCGCACUCGCGACCACCCUCUCCAGGCACCUGGGGCUCCGGUGUCCUGACCGUAGGGGAGGCGGAGUCACCAGCGGUCCCGUCAUUCCCAGAUCGCGGCGGUGGGCACUUUGCGCCUCUGCCCACUGUGGCCUGCGUGCACACACCCAGCGUGCGCGUGCGUCUCCUGGAAUGACGUUGGAACCACACGGCCCUUACGGUCUGUCCCCUGGCGUGACAUUAGGAGACCUGCCCGUGUCGCUAAGUAUUUGUUGAAAAGGGGAAUUUUAGUGGUUGCCUGAUGUUUCAUGGUGUGGACACGUCGUGACUUAUUCACCGGUACUUUAGCUAACGUUUUGCCCCCCUAAGCCGCGCUGUGAUAAACGUCUUCUGGCAGCUCUUUCUGCCCACGGGUCCUGUCCCCGUGCUUUAAUAAAAUCAUCUUCUUGCACCAAAAAACAAAACAGAAGCCACGCUCUUUUGACGCAGAGUUUUGUUACCGAUCUUUGACAGUUUUCAUAAGAAGAGUGACCUAGGAUUGGGGCUCCUGAGGAGAAGGGCAGGAGGUCAAAAGCAACCACCUUGCUCCUGGGGCUGUGCUGACCGCUGUGUCCCCCCCACCGGGCCCGCCCGCAGCCCUGCGGCCACACCGCAUGUGCCCUCCAGUGUGUUUCCGGGAAGAGCUGCUAAAACCCUCCCUUUUCUCCGAGGGUGCUGCUGGCCCCGGAAUCUGCGGCGUCUGCCGGCCCUGCGGGCACCUCGGAGGUGUCUGGUCUGUGCUCCCGGCCACUUCUCUGUGUUCGCGAACGUGCUCAUCACGGUUCAUGUCUGACCACUCCAGUAGCUGUGGUCCGUGGGUCUUUUUGUCCGGUUUGCUUUCUCGGGCUGGUUUGCAGUGUCUCUUUCCUGGACCUAGACGUUGUCCGUGAGAAGUUUCCGAGGUUCCAGGCAGGGCCCGCCUGGGUCUGUCCUGCUAGAGAGGGGCCGCUUGGCCUGAGACCACUAACCACGGAUCGGGGCCGGCCCUGCUGCCUCUGGCUUGCUCCCCUGACAGAGUGUGGGCUGCAGCUCCCCUGUGUCCCUUCCUCACGGUGCCCCCUGCGGACCAGAGCCCAGGAGCCCCCCCCCGCUCUGUGCACCUUUCCUGCCCGGCUCCUCGCUUCCCUCUCCCUGGGCGGCAGCCUCUUGGCUCUGACGGGGUGUCUCUGCCUCUGAGCAGGGGCCUUUGGCCUGGACUCUGAGCCUGCACUACGCGUCGGCAAGUGUCGCUGGGUCCCCAGUGGCUCACACCCCCGUGGCUGCCCCGUCUUUCCCGGUCUGCAUAAUCUUGCUGUCCCCGAGCCCUGUUGUGCUAGCUUUCUGGUGCCUCCGAGCCUGUUUCUGUGUUCGUUUCAGCUGGUUUUUCUAGUAGCUCUCAGCAGGGGUGCCGAUCUGGCAAAAACCAGCCCCUGGCCGUAGCUGGAAGUGGCAGGCCGUCACUCCGGGUUUGUAGGGUUGAAAGGAAGUCCUUCCUCCACUGUGUAUGCAUUGCGUCUCAGAAGGCGCUCGGGACACCCGCUCUGUGGGCGUGAGGGGGGCUGGCACGGGCAGUCCUCGGGGGGCCACCUCACUCCCCGGGAGCCUGCGUGUGGCUGCCCCCACCUCAGGAGAGGCAGCUAGGGGCAGGUGGCCCCGGCUGGAGUCCUGGCCACUCCCUUGCUUUGUGACCUUGGACGAAUCACGGCUCAGUGCCUCAGAGCCCUCCGAAACAGAACAGCCUGCACUGUCAGGAAGGUGGCCUGGGCCUCCGCUGUCCUGGACGUGAAGUAAAAACCCAAUACAAGAAGUCUCUGAGAAGUGGGAGAAGACGACCCUGGGACCCCAGGACCAACCAGGAAAGGGGCUGCCUAGCAGGACAGAAGGCUUCAGACAGUAACGCUCUACUCCAGCCAGACACUAGAGGAAGUAGUCCCCCUACGGCAGGCGCCGGUGGGUGAGGGCUGAGACCUCCACCCUCUUCAGGAUGUCACAACUGGGGUGGCGUCAGGGAAAGCUGACGAGGCUGCUCCUUCCUCCCCGGCGGGUGGUAACGAGCUGCCGCUCCGGCCCCCGGGGCACAGUGUCCAUAGAGACCAGCAGGGGGCCUGGCAGUUCCAAGACCUUUCUUGCACACCCCAUUUGGAUGGCGUCCAGUGGCCAGGUGGGGCCAGCCUGCCCCUGGCAGCCCCGGAGGUGCGUGGAGGGCUCCCCGCUACCCUGGCUUCUCCUCUGGGGCUUGGCGGAGGCUGAAUGGGGAGCCUGGCAGCAACGAGGCAGCCCCCUAGUUGUUCCAAACUACCACGGGGGUAAUUUGUGGGUGUAACCGAGAGGGGGCACAGACAGAUCAGCCAUCAAAGGGAGCUUGUGACUCACGUUUGCGCUAGAAGCGGGUACAGCCCCUGCUCAGGACUACGUGAGAGGCUGAUGCCCCUGGGGACCAGGAAGCGGGAGCAAGGGAGGACGUGGGACUCGGCCUUUAUUACUAGUGUGGUCAGAGUGGCCAGCUGCAGUAAGUGAUACGCAGGGCUUAGGCUUUGUGCUCGGAGGGCUUGAGACAGGAUUCUCACGUCCCCGUGAGAGGAGCCAAGCAGUGGGGCCAGCCCGGAGACCGGAGGUGAGGAAGCACACAGCAGGCCCAAAGUAGCCGCGUGUGGCGCCUCACCGGGCAGCUAGGGAGUGAGCCGCGUGGAGACACAGGCUCCCAGGAGAAAAGAGGAGGAGACGGGCCCCUGGGGGGCUCAGUCGGUUGGAUAUCAGGUCUUGAUUUCAGCUCAGGUCAGGAUCUCACAAUUGGUGAGAUCGAGCCCCAGGUCAGCUCCACGCUGUGAGCGCCGAGGAUGCUUGGGAUUCUCUCUGCCCCUCCCCUGCUUGCGCUGUCUCCCUCUAAAUACAUAAAUAAGCAUUUAAAAAGAGGAAGAAGAAAAACCAAAUGGAAAUUUAGAAUUGAAAAAGACAACCCAAAAGAAAAAGCUCAGUGGAUGAGCUCUACAGGAGAAAGGAGCGGACAGAAGACAGGAUCAGUGAACUUUUAAGAUAAACUAGAAAUUGCCUGUUUGGGGCACUGGCUGGCUCAGUGGGAGGAGCGUGCCCCCCUUUUUUUUUUUUUCUUUAAAUGUUUUAUUUAUUUUUGAGAGAGAGGGAGACAGAGUGUGAGUGGGGAAGGGGCAGAGAGAGAGGGAGACACAGACUCUGAAGCAGGCUCCAGGCUCUGAGCCGUCAGCACAGAGCCCGAGGCGGGGCUUGAACUCAUGAACUGUGAGAUCACGACCUGAACUGAAGUCAGACACUUAACUGACUGAGCCACUCAGGUGCCCCAAGGAGUGUGCGACUCUUGAUCUGAGGUUGUGAGUUCAAGCCCCACGUGGGGCAUAGAGAUCACUUAAAUAAAUAAAAACUUUAAAAAAUCACCCAUUUGAACAUCUGAGAAAACAGUUAAAAAACAAGCAGGGUUUCAGCCACCUGUGGGACUAGAGGAAAGCAUCUAACAUACUCGUCAUCGGAGUUCUGGAAAGAGGGGAGGGAGGCUAGAGCUGGGAAGGUGCUUGAAGAAAUAACUCCUGAACACUUUCCACAUUCAGUAAAAGACCUAAGUCAACACAUUUUAUUUGUACUUGUUUUUGAAAGCUUAUUUAUUUUGUGAGAGAGAGCAUGCACGCAUGCAUGAGUGUGUGAGCAGGAUAAGGACAGAGAGAGAGAGAGAGAGAGAGAGAGAGAAUUCCGGGCAGUCUCCGGGCUGUCAUUGCAGAGCCCGACACAGGGCUCAGACUCACAAACUGAGAGGCUGUGACCUGAGCUGAAAUCGAGAGUAGGAUGCAUAACCAACCGAGUCACCCGGGUGCCCCUGAAGUCAACACAUUGUAGAAGCUGGGUGAACCUCCGGCAGGACCAACCCAAAGAAAUCCACAUGAAGACCCAUCACCGUGACGCUAAGCAGUGCGAGGACAGGUAAUCGUGACGGCAGUGAGCGAGACCGGCGUCUGGCACGGGGAGGGCGACUCCAGGGACAGCAAGCUGCUUAUCAGAAACUGUGGCAGCCAGGAGGAGAGAACAGGAUUUUUCACAUACUGGAAAAAACCUGUCAACUCAGAAUCCUGUAUCCAGCAAAUAUCGUCUGAAAAAGAGGGGAGAAUCAAGACCUUCUCAGGAGAAGGAAACAGAACGGCCAGCAGCACGUCUGCCCCGCGAGAACCUGGAGGAGGGUCUCUAAACAGGAAGUAGUCAACCCUUGAACAACGUGGGGCUUAGGACACUGGGCCCUGCGCCCCACCCCGGCACGGUCCCGGCACAGUAGAACUUUCCUUUACGCGUGAGUGAAAUAAGGUUCCGGCGUAUGAGUUAACACAGCUGCAGUCAUCCCGGUGGCAAAAUAAAUCGUCCAGAAGGCAGCAAAAGCGCAUGGCGAGUGUGUAUAAAAAGGCACUGUUUACAGUUGCACCUGUUACAGGAUUCUUGGCUCUGUGAUGUUUCAAGUUGAGUUCUUAGAAAGAAACAAGAUGCCCAAGAUUAAAGGGAAAAAUACCCAAACCACAUGGAUUUGACUCCAUUAAAAACGCAAAGCAGAGGGGGCGUCCUGUUCUCUGUUGCCCCACGGUGGGCCAGCAGGUGGCACAGCCCCGCCCUCCGUGCAGGACGUUGGGCUCCCCAGAAACUUAACUGCUGAUGGCCUACUAUUGACCUGAAGCCUUACCGAGAACAUAAACGGUUCAUUAGUCCCUAUUUUGUGGGUUACGUGUAUUGUGUACUGUGUUUGUGUAAUAAAGUAAGCUAGGGAAAAGAAAACGGACGUUUACAGCACUGCUGUGUCCAGGGACACCUGUGCAUAAGUGGACCUGUGGACAGUUUAAGCCCGUGUUGUUCAAAGAUCUCUGGAACACGAAGAAGAAAGAAGGUGGUCAGCAAAAUAUGGGUAAACCCAGUAGACUUUCCUUCUCGUUUGCCUUCUGAAGUCCGUGUGAUAGUUGAGACAGAAGCGACAGUGCCGUGUGGGGUUGGAAGGAAGAGACGUGAAGACGAGCUUAGAGUAGGAGAGGGCUGAGGGGCGUCCGGGGGUGAGGGUUCCACAUUUCGCUUGGACCC